UUAAUUUUAUUUUAAUAUUUUUUAAAAAGAAUAGAUUUAAUUAAUAAUAUUUAAGGGGAUAAGCUCUUAAAUAAAAGUUUAUAAUGUAUUUGGGUUUAAAUAAAAAAAUAGGUUUAGAGAUAUCUAUUAUUUAUAAUUUGUUAUAAUUAUUUUAUUUUUAUUUAUUAUUUUAUAUGUGUUUAAUUUUUUAUAAAUAAAUAUUAUUUAAUAAUAAAUUAUUAGGUAUAAUGAUUGAAUUAGUAUAUAUAUAUAUUAUGUUUAGAUUAUAGGAUUAGUUAGAUUAAUUAAAGGAAUUCGGCAAAAAUUUUAUUCGCCUGUUUAACAAAAACAUGUCCUUUAGAGAUAAUUGAAGGUUUAACCUGCCCACUGAGAAAUUUUAAAUGGCCGCAGUAAAUUGACUGUGCAAAGGUAGCAUAAUCAAUAGUUUUUUAAUUGAAAGCUUGUAUGAAUGGUUGGACGAGAUAAAAUCUGUCUUUAGUUAAUAAAUAAAAUUUAAUAUUUAAGUUAAAAAGCUUAAAUAAUAUUAAAAGACGAGAAGACCCUAUAGAUCUUUAUAAUAUUGUAAUUAUUUGUAUUAAAGAUUAAUUUAUAUUUUAUUUAUGUUAUUAUUAUAUUGGGGUAAUAGAGAGAUUAGAAAAAUUCUUUUUAAAAAUUAACAAUAAUUUUUGAUUUAGUGAUCCAUUAAUUAAUGAUUAAAAGAUUUAGUUACCUUAGGGAUAACAGCGUAAUUUUUUUAGAGAGUUCAUAUCGAUAAAAAAGUUUGCGACCUCGAUGUUGGAUUAAAAAUUAUUCUAGGUGUAGUAGUUUAGAAUUUUGGUCUGUUCGACCAUUAAAUUUUUACAUGAUCUGAGUUCAGACCGGUGUAAGCCAGGUCGGUUUCUAUCUUUAGUUAGAGAUAAUAUUUUAGUACGAAAGGACCAAUUAUUAAAUAUGCAAUAUUUUUAUUAUUGAAUUAUAUU
rnacentral:rRNA from 1 species